GCGAACUUCACAAACCAUGGUAUGAAGUGGGCUUGUUAACCAUAGCUCAUGGAAGCCAAAGCUUUAUUAUAAAACAGGAGAUAAGUAUAUCAGCAUGCCUUGGAUGCUAGCAGAGCAGAACACAAGCAAUGAGAAGAUAAGGGAAUUUGGUCAAACACACACAAACCAUGGAACCUAACCCGAAUAGCAUCAGAUAAGGCCAGCACUGAGUUUCUAUUAAAAUGUAAUAAAUAAGA